GAGGGUGGAGCUCAGUGGUGGAGUGUGUGCUUAGCAUGCACGAGGCCCUGGGUUCAAUCCCCAGUGACUCCA
rnacentral:tRNA from 1 species